UUAAUAAAAGCCAAAAAGAGGCGUUUCACUGUUAAUGAAAUUAAUGAAUUAUCUCUUAUUAAG
rnacentral:tRNA from 1 species